rnacentral:rRNA from 1 species
UACAGAGGGUGCGAGCGUUGUCCGGAAUCACUGGGCGUAAAGCGUCUGUAGGUGGUCAAAUAAGUCAACUGUUAAAUCUUGAGGCUCAACCUCAAAAUCGCAGUCGAAACUAUUAGACUAGAGUAUAGUAGGGGUAAAGGGAAUUUCCAGUGGAGCGGUGAAAUGCGUAGAGAUUGGAAAGAACACCGAUGGCGAAGGCACUUUACUGGCUAUUACUAACACUCAGAGACGAAAGCUAGGGUAGCAAAUGGG